AACGAACGCUGGCGGCAUGCCUAACACAUGCAAGUCGAACGAGACCUUCGGGUCUAGUGGCGCACGGGUGCGUAACGCGUGGGAACCUGCCCUUAGGUUCGGAAUAACUCCCCGAAAGGGGUGCUAAUACCGGUUAAUGUCUUCGGACCAAAGAUUUCUCGCCUUUGGAUGGGCCCGCGUUGGAUUAGCUAGUUGGUAGGGUAAAAGCCUACCAAGGCGACGAUCCAUAGCUGGUCUGAGAGGAUGAUCAGCCACACUGGGACUGAGACACGGCCCAGACUCCUACGGGAAGCAGCAGUGGGGAAUAUUGGACGAUGGGCGAAAGCCUGAUCCAGCAAUGCCGCGUGAGUGAUGAAGGCCUUAGGGUUGUAAAGCUCUUUUACCCGGGAUGAUAAUGACAGUACCGGGAGAAUAAGCUCCGGCUAACUCCGUG
rnacentral:rRNA from 1 species